rnacentral:rRNA from 1 species
UACGGGGGGGGCAAGCGUUGUUCGGAAUUACUGGGCGUAAAGGGCUCGUAGGUGGCCAACUAAGUCAUACGUGAAAUCCCUCGGCUUAACCGGGGAACUGCGUCUGAUACUGGAUGGCUUGAGGUUGGGAGAGGGAUGCGGAAUUCCAGGUGUAGCGGUGAAAUGCGUAGAUAUCUGGAGGAACACCGGUGGCGAAGGCGGCAUCCUGGACCGGCAUUGACGCUGAGGCGCGAAAGCCAGGGGAGCAAAGCGGG